CGGUGCAAGGCUGAUUUGGCCUUUUCCUUUAAGGUUGUGAAGUAGCAGCAGUAAAUGGAUACCCUCACUAAUGAUAAACUGAGCUCGACUUCAGCUGACACAACAUGCCUCCUAAAUUCGACUCCAACGAGAUUAAAAUUGACUCCCAAAAAGGUGGGUGAUGACAUUGCAAAGGUCACCAGUGACUGGAAGGGCCUGUGUAUCACUGUGAAGUUGACCAUUCAGAAUGGGCAAGCAGCUGUAAUCCCCUGAGAUUCAGUCUGUGUACCAGUUUGUGAGGUCCUCUACUCCCAAGAGAUGUUGACAAAUUUUGUAACUGUCCCAAAUUGAAGUUGUGCCAUCGCCCUCUGCUCUCAUCAAGGCCCUGAAAAAGCCUCCCUGUGACAGGAAGGUCAAGAACACACUCUGGGAGUGUUGCCUUCUGGGAUUGUCAACAUUGCCCAUGUCAUGAGACCAUGCUCUAUUGCCAGAGAGCUUUAUGGUACCAUUAAGGAGUCUUUGCACAGAUCAGUCUGUUGGAUGAACCAUUAACGUCAUAAACGACAUGAACAGCGGUAAAAUCAAGUGCUAAUCUGAAUAAUAUGCAACUAUUUCAGAUGGGGAAAAAAAUAAAGUGGUUCAUAAAAAUUUAA